CUGCAGGCCUGCUCACUGCCAUUGUCCAGCUACCAGGGGCCACAAACUCUCUGAGCAUUUGCCACGAACCACACGAGGCUCUACACUACAGCCCUGUCAGCCCCCAUGAAGUCCCCCCGAAGCAGAUGGGCCCAGAUCCUGGCCCCCUGCAAGGCUCUGGACACCACACAUCGCUGCCAGCGCCAUCACAUCGAGUGGCCACAAGGCCACCAUUGCACCCAUGAGGAAUCUGAGGCCUGGGGAGGGGCGCCACCUGCCCACCGACAGUGGGGUGGAGCUGGACCCCAGCCCGGGUCUCCAGGUCAAAGCCUGGCUCUGCCCCUGGGCCCCCUGCCCUGGCCUGUGCAGGAUGGCAACUCUCUCUCGGAUUCCAGCCCGAUUACCACAGUGCGGAUCAGCAGCUGCAAGCCUGUCCACCCCCCUGAGCUGGGGGAGAACUUUAUCUGAAAGCAAGGUGAGUUUCUGCAAAGGCUGUGGUAUCCUUGGGGGCCUCGGGAACCCAUAUUCUUCCCUUGUGACUAGCAGCCCCCACAGUGGGCCUCUACCUGCUGCAGGAACUCCUCCACAGCAGCCCUGGGGAGGAGGCUGCUCAGCCUCAGCCCAAACACCCUCACUGAUGGGAAGCUCACUACCUCUCAAGGCUGCCCAUUCCAUCGCGGGCCUCCACUGACUUCAGGAAACCCUCUCUUGGACAGAGGCUCCUGGGGGCUUUUUACACUGGCCUCACUUCCUUGUGCCACAAUGAGUGAGACCUCCAUUCAGGAACUUAUCUGGUCUGUCCUCCUACCAGUGCAAGUUUUCCCAAUGUCUACUGUGGGUAGAGACAGCCUCUGUUUACACGUCUCCAUACACCCACCCCAAUAUUCACACGGCUAUCUGCAGCCCGCCUCACCAGCUAACCAUCCCCAAGAUCACUCACCCAUCCGCACGCCCAUUCACAUCUCCCUUCCUUCUUUCCUACCCCCUUCCCCACCUUCCAGUCAUCCACCAAUUUAUAUCCUCCUCUUCCUCCAACUGUACCCCCAUCCACCCUCCACAACCCCCACCCAUCCCCACACCCAUCCCCACCCAUCUCCCAUCCACCCACCCGUCCCUCCCUCCCCUCUGGUCUGGGCUGGCCCCUAGUCCCCACAGGGUAAAGAACUAUAACAGGUGGUCUUCGCAAAGCGUCUUCCAGAACCCUCCCGCAGCCUCCAUGAGCCCUGUGCCUCUCACCUGGUCCCCCAGGAUUCCACACCCAGCCUGUCACAUCCCGGGCAAAUGUGAGCCUUCCCUCUCUCUCUGCCUCAUUCCCUCCUGGUGCCUGCUAGCCUCUGAUUUCCCUCAUCUCCUGGACCCUACAGCCCCAGGUCCUGGGGCAGACCCCCUGGGCCUGGACUCGGCAACAGGGACACUGCACCCAGAUGGGAGGAGUAUUUGUCACACACACCUUCCAUGCCUGCCUGCUGCCAGACACCAGUCAUGGCAGGUGCCUGGUGGAGAGGGGCAAGGGGCACAUUGGACCCUGGAGGAGAUCCCAGAGAGGGGUGUCAUUUUCAGGACCAGAGGCUAAGAUCCUUGUGAGGUCCCCUUCCAGGUCCCUGUUCUCUUGUCCCAAAGUCUCUGGAGGGCCUGGGCCUCACGGACCCGUUCUUCCUCCAGGCGGCGGCCACCUGUAUCCGCCUCCUCUCCCACAGCAUCGCAUUAGCGCUUCCCUCCCCCACAUUACAGAGGCAGAAACCAAAGCUCAGGGUGGGUGAGGCUUUCCCAGCUCCCAGGGCUCCACUUCCUCCUCACAGGGCCACUGCUUUGGCUUGGAUGGGCCUAGGAGACUACCUGGGGGUUUAGGAAAGCCUGGAGGUGAGUCUGAGGGCACAGAGAGCUCAGCAUCCCUGCCCAGCAGAGGCCAUGCGCCAUCUCCUAUGCUGUCACAGGGUGGCCCUUGAAGAUCUGCUUUUUGAAGGCCCUGGCAGUCCGCAGUCCACAGCUAGCCCUCUGGGUCAUGAGCUGCUCACGGCCCCCUGCACUCACCACAUGCUGUCUCAGGGUGCUGAUGGCAGUAGAGGCUGUACACAGCGCGGUGGCCUGGGGCAUGUUGGGGCUCCCCACCCUUUCCACAACUGCUCUCUUCAUGUCCACUCAACCUCCAUCAGCCCUGAUGGGUUCAUGUCCACACUACCCCCAUCUUAUGGAUGAAGGAACUGAGGCCCAAGCGCUCUGUGGGUUCCUGAAUGCUGGCUUAGCACAUUCCGUCUUCAACACCAACAGUAGCUUGUCCUUGAGAAUGGGGGCAGACGUCUUACUCAUCUCUGACACCCUUUUCCCUAUGUGAGUCAUCCUGCCUCAGUUUGUUCCUCUGCAAAAUGGGAGUUCAGCAUCCGUAGUCUCCUAGCUGGGGUGAGUACUAAGUGUCUCCAGGCCCACAGCGCUGUGUGCCCCUGUGUUCGAGACUUAAACUUUCAGAUCAUCUUCUGUAGGACAGCAGGGCUAAUAUCAGCUGUCAUUUCCAAAGCCCCUGGCCCUGCCGGGCUGUGUCAAGUGUGCAGUGAUGCCUGUCCCUCCUUCUGCUCCUGUGGGUUGCAGGGGACCACAGCAGGCAGGUCUGCAUGGACAUGCUCACACCGCCAGCCGGCCGCUCCCUCUCCCCAGCCACGCAGCCAAGCCCCGCGCAGAGCUGGCCGGCCCUCCACCUCAGCAUUCUGACUCACAUGCCCCCUGGGGAUGAAGUCACUGCCGCCCAGGUGAAGAAAAGGAUACGUUUGUUCCCUGGGAGACGCUGAUGCCAUGGUGAACUUGGCCUUCAAGGGCAGGACACAGCUCUGGGCUUGUGCUCACAGGCUGUAGGCAGCUGCCUCAGUGAGGGCACCGGUGAGGGGUCAGUGAGGACCCUGUCCGGAGGAUCGAGGACUGGGAUGGUACCCUUCCCUGGAGGCCAGGUGAGAGGGUUUAUGGCCUCUAUCUGGCCGUCAGACCUAGCUGGGUUUGGCCCCUCUACUUGCCUGGAGAGGACUCUCUGAGGUCUGAGGGCUCCAAAACCCCAAACUUCUGCCUCUGACUUAAGGGGCAAGCUACAGUUCCAUGGAUGUCUGCCUCCUUCACAUAUGGGCACACUCCACUCUACAAGCUGGCGAGCUGGAGGCGAUGGUGGGCUUCAAGAGCCAGACCCCAACUCCUCCUGCUUUCUGGGUCUCUGUGUGGGCUCUCCAUCCCUGCCUUCAGCCUCUUUCCCUGGUGACCCUCCCCAUGGCUGCCUGUCACCUAUAGGAGAAAGGCCAAACCCCAGCCAGGCAGGCAAGACCCUCUGUCCCCUGCCAUCCACUCUGAGCUUCCAGAUAUCAAGCAGUGCCUGAGCCUCAAGGCCUACCCACCCUGGGCAGGAAUUCUGCACAACUGGGCCAGCUAUUCUCCACAUGCCCUGGAGAUUGAUUGUCUACUCUGCUCAGGGCCCAGGGACUGAAUACCAGGCUACUGUGCUCGGUUGGGUGUGCGCAGUGGGAGGCCCAGGCAGGAGUGGGAGGCUUGUGGGGUGGGAUGGGCAGGAAGGAUAUUCACUGCCCCCUGCAGCCAAAGUGUCUGGCAGGUGGCCUUGGCACAUGGCUCUCUCUCUGGGGGUUCAUGUAAAUGCUUCCUCCCCACCCUCAGGUGCAGGGCUAGUAAGUCCUCCCCACUGUUGCCGGCCUACUGUGUGGAACCAGGUGCCAUACCUUCCCCCACCAUCUCCCUUAACCCCACACCACCCCUGCAUGCAGCCCCAUCAGGGUUCACACCACACUGUGGACCCUGCUAGUGAGUCAUCUGCUUCCUGCAGGACCCAGUUGCUACUCUUCAAGGUCACGCCUCUAGGAAGCCAAUUAUUUGUUUGUUCCUCCAUUCACUCAACAUGUGUUAAUGUCCUUACUCUGUGAAGAUGGGCACUGCUACUUGGUGAGGAAGACCACAGAGCCUUGUAGGGCUGACAUUCUGCAGGAGGAAUAACCAGCACCACGUAAGCAAAUAAGUAUAACUUCUGGCAGUGGUCUGUGCCAUGCGCAAGCUGAAUAAAGCAUAGAAUUUCACUUGGUGACAAGCUUCCCUGGUCCUCUCCUCUCCUGUGCCUGGUCCUCUCCAUUCCCUGGGCUUCCGUGGGUAUCACGUGUGUCUGUGGCCCGUACCUCAGUGCUCUGAGAGCCUGUGGGAAGUGAGGGAGUAGCCUCUGCACGCUCCCCGAUAACCCUAAGUAGCAGCGGUCACGAACAUGUCCCAAUUUUACACAUUAACAAACCGAGGUUCAGACACCUUCCCCAGGAUUAUACUUAAACCCAGCUCUGCCUGCCUGAUUCCAAACCCAGAGCUCUUUCUCCUGUUUCAGGCAGAAAGCAAAAUGAAUCACCCAUCACUUAAAUGUGUAUUCUUCCAGAGUAGGGCCAGGCACAAGGCAGGCACUUGACACAUGCCCAGAUGGCUGAAUGUCAAAACCCUUAUUUUUGCUGCUGCUUAAGCAGCAUUUGCACUGUGGGCUGGGACGUCCCUAUUUUCCAGGUGGGAAAACGGAGGCCUGUGGUGGCUAAGAGCACUGGGUCCCACGGGACCACGGGUGGGCUCCCAGCCUCCCAGGUUGCUGGCCAACCUGAGUUCUGCCAUCUUGUCUCAGGCCUAGGAGGCCACUAACAGCUCAGGGGGCAGGCAGGGCUGGCCACUGACUCAGGCUGGGUGCUGGGGAAGAAGCCAGGGAGAGCUUUGCCACGUCCAUCUUAGGGAGCACGAGGGACAGAGUCCAAGGCCCCAGCUGGGUGCCCAGGCCUGCUCUGACUGCUCUGCAGAGAGGAGACUGUUGGGGAAAGAACAGAAGCUAGGGCUGGGGAGCAGCUGAUGCCUGGGCUCGGGAGGUGGCCCAAGACAUGAGGAUAAGUGACUGGAUUCUAGAAACACUCUUAAAGCACAGCCAGUAGGGAUUUCUGAUAGAUAAGGUGAGGGUGUGAGAAAGAAAGAGCAGCUGACACCUGGGCUUCUGGCCUGAGCAGCUAGGAGGAUGGAGGCUUCCGUGAUUAUAAAGGGGACACCGGAACAGCGAGUGGGGAGCAGGUGGGGUGGGGUGGGACAGAACACUGGGAAGGAAUUUGCUCUGUGGAAACGAGAGCUCUUGUUUUCCAGGAGUCAGAAAUCCAGAUUUUUGCAUAUAAGCUCUUGAAUUUUAUAUGCUUGCAAGAAACUCAAAUUUAAAAUAUGUGGGCUAAUCCCAUGCAGGCAAAAUAAAGUCCAUCUGUAGGUGUCUGGCCUACAGGCCUCCUCUUAUACCCUUUGUUCCUUCUCGAUUGUUAAGACUCACUGAGCUGCCACUUCCUCCAGGAAGCUGCCCAGGAUUGGUUUAGCUCCAGAGAUGUUUGUGGCUCCUCACAGCCCCCUUGUGGGACUAAAAAAAAAAACAGACUAGCAGUGGCUUGCAGGUGGAUAUGAGGUUUGCUCAUCAGUUUCUCAUACUCCCAAUGAACAAUCUGGCCCAGAGGAGUUCAUGGAUGAUUAUCUGCUGGAUGGAUGAACAGCUCUCUCACUUAAUCCCUCUGCCUUUCAUUUUGCAAAUGAGGAAACUGAGGCCCAGAUUAGGGAUGUGACCUGCCCAGGGCAGCAUCUAGGGCCAGAGCCUGCUCACUGUCCAACCUCUGUUUGUCAGCUGCCCCUGAGACCGGGCGGGCAGGGCAGGAAGUAUGUAGACAAUUGUACAAUCUUAUCACGUUUUGUCACUGCAGGGAAAAACAGGAUCUGGAGCAGCUCCCAAUCAUCCAGGGGGAGUCUGUUCUGGGGCUCUCUCUCCAGGAGCCUGCCAUGGUGGCUGCCACCUAGGAUCCAGGCAGAGCCAGACCCUCAGACUGAGCACCUCUGUAGGUGGCCUGGCUGUGGGACAGAUGGAGUCCCAAGGGGAAGGGCCUGACAUCAGCAAUUGGCCAAAGUGACAGCCAGCCCUCCCGGGUUCUCCCUUCUGAGAGUUCUGACCCAGUCCCGUUCAGGCCUGCAGAGGGCAGAGAGUACAAGGGCCCUGUGGGGUGUUUGCUCAGAUAGGCCGUGUCGGGGAAGCACUGUUAGCAGUGGAGGCCGCAGCCCCAUUCCCCAGUGCUGGAGGUGGAGAGAUGAGUCUCUGAGCUGUCAGGUGACUUAUCUCAAGUCACACAGCCAGGGAGAAGUCGAUCUGGGACUCCUCACUCUAAGACCUGACCCUUUUCCAUGCUGCUGUGCUGCACCGGCCAUGGGGCCUUUCCAAGCCAUCCUCUCACCUCCUCCCCAGUGAAAUGAGGAAAGAAACAGGACGGGCCUUCAGGGGCCUUCGUGAAGAUCCAACACAUGGAAGGUGCCAGCACUGUGUGAACGUGCUUUGUGAAGCUACGUGAAAGGCUGUGUGUAUAAAGCGAUGCUCUUCUUAGCCUCUAGUCUCUAAAUUUUCUGGGUGUGGCAAUCUUUGAAAUUCCCAGGGUGACACUUAGCUAUCAUCCAAUAAUAAUAAUAAUAAUAAUACUCAUGGUUACUGAGUGCCUACUGCAGCCAGGGCCCUACAUGGGCCUGACUCAUUGAAUCCUUAAGCCCACCCUAUGAGGUAUUAGUACCUCAUGUAUAGGGCGGGGAAACUAAGGCACAGAGAGGUUUACAAACAUGCCCAGUGUUAUGCAAAUGGAAGGGGUAGAGUUAGGAUUUGAACCCUGGCAAUUCUGCCCCAAACACACUAUGCAACACGACUUUCCUAGUCUGGUAUGGAAGUCCUUCUCAGUGUCUAAGCCAAAUCCUUUUACUGCAGGCUGUACUCAUUCCCUAGCUCCUUCCUGGGCAAAGGAGAAAAGCUGAUGCUUUUGCCCCGCAUCAUGUGCUGAAAGGCCUGACUUCUUUGGCUCCCGGCUCCCAGCUCCCUGGUUCUGGCGUGCAUGUCAGGGCAAACCAAACAGAAGCCCUCCCCUUGGCUGGCUGCACCCGCACACGCGCCUCCUGCAAAGAGAACCGGCAUUGGCCCACACAACUAAAGAGGCUGACAUGUCCCAGGACCUGCAGGUGGCCAGCUAGAGACCCAGGAAAGCUGGUGGUGUGGUUCCAAACCAAAUGCCAGGAGGCUUCAGAUCCAGGAGGAAGCAAUGCUUCAGUCUAAGUCUGGAGGCAGGAGAAAAACUGAUGUCCAGCUCAAGGGCAGCCAGACAGGUGCAUUCCUGCUUACUCAGCCUUUCUACUCUAUCCAGACCUUCAACUGAUUGCACGAGGCCCACCCACACUGGGGAGGGCAAUCUGCUCUGCUCAGUCUACUGAUUCAAAUGUCAGUCCUCCAGAAAACCCCUCACAGACACACCCAGAAUAAAGGCUAGUUAAAAUUUUAGGUGCUGUGUGGCCCAGUCAAGGUGGCACAUAAAGGUAAUCAUCAGACAUGGUCUUCCCUCUGUAUCUGCGCCCUAAUCUCUUCUUAUAAGGACACCAGUCAUAUUGGAGUAGAGCCACCUUAAUGACCUCAUUUGAACUUCAUUACCUCUUUAAAGACCCUACCUCUAAGUACAGUCCUAUUCUAAGGUAUUGGGGGUUAGGACUUAUGAAUUCUAGCGGGUACAUAACAGGCUCUGACAGGACACAGAGUUUGGCUCAUAGGCAUUUGGACCCAGCUCUUUCCUCUGCUGAGUGUGCCUGGGCAUCUGGAGCCCCUCGGUUGGCUUGCCCCUUCCCUGGCAGGCUGAUUCAUCCAUCCUGUGGUUGCCAAAACGUGGAGGAGGUGCAGACAGUCACUUAGUGUGGACUGAGCUCACGUGCAAAGUCCAGCAAUCACUGCCGGCCAAUGUGCUCACCAUGGAAGGCCAGUAAGGUCUAGUCCCAGCAAGGUGGUUCCCUGAAUAAAAUCUCAAUGAUCUCAAUAUCCAUCUCCCCACUCCCUGGCUACCAGGGGAUCUUGCUAAGACACAGGGGGCUGCCAGGGGAGGUCAGACAUGAAGGACUGGAGCCCUGGAGCCCACCUGCACCUGGAGUGCCUGCUUUAAAUGCCCUCUAGAUGUGCCUGGCCAGGGCAGGGCAGGCAGAUGGAGGCAGGCAGCCUGGUCCCACUAUAGGUCAGUUCUUCUCUCUAAACUUGGGCUGGGUUUGGCUCUGGCUGCUUCAUUCUUAAACCUUGCCUAAUUAUUCUGCUGAAGACGAGCUCCUGGAGGUCCCUGAGAAUUUGGUCAAACUGUGCUGCCUUGCUCUGGUCCAGCAGAAGUACCUAAAUGAGGAGGAUAUGCUUGCAGGAAGCAUGGGGCAUUUUGUACUGCCAGGCACACAGCCUUCCCAUGUCACCUGGGAACUGGCCUCUCCCACAGAGUGCAUUGCUGGUGGGGUGGAAAUAAAAAGGCCUAUGCCAUGGGUAGAAGCAAAGGGGUCCCUGUAGGUUAGUUCCUACAGAUACUUCCCCCAACCUCCCAGCACAACCAAGGGGUGGAACAUAGCAUGAGCUUGACCAAUCAGAUUCUCCCCCGAGACUUUACAUCGGAGUGGAGGCAGGUGGCUGGGGACUCCCUGAAUGCACACAGCCAGGAGCCUGCACCUGGGGCUGUGGGAUUACGGCUCUGGGACUUCAGCUUCCUGCUGAUCCUCUGAACUCCCAAGGGGCUUGUAACCUCUCUUUUGCUCCAGCUGGCAAUGCAUGAUUUCUGUUGCUUGCCACCAAAGACUGUCGGAUCCAGUGUUCACCUGCUGCCAUCGGUGUCUUUUCUGCCAAGGGUGAUUGUCUGCACCUCUUAUGUCAAUGGGAAAAUCCUCCUCUUCCAUCAAGAUCCAUCUCAAUUCUACAAGAACCCUUUAUGACUUUCCCAGUUAAA